rfam:Arsukibacterium sp. MJ3 EFN4V4R2, whole genome shotgun sequence.
AAAACCGGGUUAACUGCCUGAGAUUCGGGCUAGGCUGGUGAUGAUUUAAUCACCGGCCU